rnacentral:tRNA from 1 species
GGGCGGUUAGCUCAGUUUGGUUAGAGCAUCUGAUUUACAUUCAGAGGGUCACAGGUUCGAGUCCUGUACUGCCCA